AAAAUGGGCAUGGUCCCCUGAACUGACCCGGGCUCUAGCAUUUGGGAAAGAGGGAAAGAAGUGCACAAAAGAGAAGGAUAGUGACUGCGGAGGAAGCCAACGCCAGAGUCUCACCGGAUGGAUUUUUUAAAGGGAGGACGGGGAGAGGGUAUAAAUCCAUACCACCAGUCCCUCUUCCUUUUUACCUACAACUUAGGCUAUCCUAUUGUUAUUUCUUUUCUCUUGCCCAAUGGCUCGUGGUGAUCCAAAGAGUUUAAAUCACGUGGAUCAGCAACAAGUGGAGGAGGAAACAUAGGGUAGCACGUGGCGACUUAUCCUCAAGCCACCCAAAAGGACCUAGCCAGGGGCAGGAAUGGGAGAGUGCUGCGAGAGGGCAGCAAGCUCGGCCAAAGACUGAGGCUCUGGGAACCGCAGGAAGAGGUCGGAGGCUGGACCCGGCGGGAAGGAUGGCUGCGGAAUGGCGAAGCCACGACCAGGACCGGGUGAAGGAGCCUGGCUUCUCGGGAAGGCAGCGGGAAUCGCCGCAGGCUGCGGGAAUGGCGGAGAAACGAGGACGCCCCCCAGGAAACUCACUUUCUUGCUCAGGUAGAAGAACAUCGUGGGAUCCCCGAGAGGGUCACGGCGGCCGCUAAGGCCCUCGACAAGUAACGGUUCUACGUCUCCAAUCGGGAGUACCAGCAGCUCCGGAAAGCUCCCGUCGCCCUGGCAACCGCUGUUGCCCGGUCGCAUCCGGGGCGCCGCGGGACACUUCCGGUGACGCCCUCGCACCGGGCACCGGCGUAGUGCGCCUGCGCGGACGUCGAUGGGUUUGUGGGCGCAGGGCGCGAGGCGCGAGGCGGUAGCUGGGCUAGUCCUGUUCCCUGGCGUCUGGGCCUUUCUGCUCUCCGCAAGGAGCUGGGUCGCGACCUGUCACUGCCAGCCGUGCGCUCGCCCUCUGCGCCCCGUCUCGUGGUCACUGCCGCCCUCCCUCCCGCCACACCUGUGAUGAUCGCUAUGGAGCCGCGCCUCAGGUGGCAUUACUAUAAACCUAAGAGGAGAGGCGCCCGUUCGAAUAAGGGCAAAUUAUUUAGUAUUUUGUCUUCAAUGUUCCUGGCAGCUUAAAGUACCAACUGGGACACUUGUCACUAGUUUGAGAAGUGCAGCCAUAGCCUUCGAAGCCCAACCCCAGGUGCUAGCUUUGAAACCCAACUUUGCCACAGACCAGCAUGUUGAUGGAGAGGCUCUCACCCACAAGCAUGGAGUGGGAGGGUGAUUUCCUGGGAGAAAGAAAGCCACUUUCUUUUUGGAAGCCAACGAAUGCCAAGUAGAUGCCACCAAAGCCAGUGAUGGCUUGUGAAAGCCCAGUGUCCUGGGACAGGAAAGACAAGGGGAUCCCAGCCAAGUCUGACUGCAAUGAGGCCAAACGUUGCCCCAGAGCAAGACUUCAUCUCCCUUUUCCUGACAAACCAUUGAUGGCUGCGUUUCACAUUAACCUAGAUUAAAAGUCUCCUUGAAAUGUAUAAUUGUAAUUAAUUAUUGGUUCAUUUGUUUGUCUCACCCCCACCCCCAGAAUGUUACUUAAUGGUAUGGAGGGAUUACCUUUAUCUUUGUAUCAUCAGAGAUCAAUAAAUGCAUGCUGAAUAAAUAAGUGUGAAAUAAAUU
rnacentral:lncRNA from 1 species